rnacentral:rRNA from 1 species
GUGCCAGCAGCCGCGGUAACACGUAGGGCGCAAGCGUUGUCCGGAAUUAUUGGGCGUAAAGAGCUCGUAGGUGGUCCGCUACGUCUGCUGUGAAAAUCCAGGGCUUAACCCUGGACUUGCAGUGGAUACGGGCGAACUAGAGGUAGGUAGGGGAGAAUGGAAUUCCCGGUGUAGCGGUGAAAUGCGCAGAUAUCGGGAGGAACACCGGUGGCGAAGGCGGUUCUCUGGGCCUUACCUGACACUGAGGAGCGAAAGCGUGGGGAGCGAACAGGAUUAGAUACCCUGGUAGUCC